rnacentral:rRNA from 1 species
AUGGCGUCCUCCUCCUCCACCUCUACUCUCUCCAGCCUCGGUUCUCAGGUUCCGGAGAAGUUAACCAGGGAGAAUUAUCUCCUCUGGAGGGCUCAGAUCCUCCCCCACUUCCUUGGCGCUGGCCUAUAUGGCUACCUCGACGGCUCCAUCCCUGCACCGAAGAAGCUGAUCACCGCCAAGGACAAGGAUGGCAAGGAGCAGGACAUCCUCAACCCGGCAUAUGAAGCUUGGGUUCGACAGGAUUAGCAGGUCCUCGGGCACAUCCUCAGCAACCUGACGAGAGAUGUGCUCGUUUCUGUAGUCUCCAUCAAGACGGCGCACGCGAUGUGGACUUCCCUGGGUAACAUGUUUGCCUCACAAUCUCGUUCCCGCAUCAAUAACAUUCGC